rnacentral:tRNA from 1 species
GUCGGGAUAGCUCAGCUGGUAGAGCAGAGGACUGAAAAUCCUCGUGUCAUUCCAGAUU